rnacentral:tRNA from 1 species
GCCCCCGUAGCUCAGCUGGAUAGAGCACCGGCCUCCGGAGCCGGACGCACAGGUUCGAGUCCUGUCGGGGGUA